GACGAACCGUGCGAACGUUAUUCGGAAUCACUGGCUUAAAGGGCGCGUAGGCGGGUCGGCAAGUCAGGGGUGAAAGCCCGCAGCUCAACUGCGGAAGGGCCUUUGAUACUGCCGGUCUCGAGGGAUGUAGGGGCGUGCGGAACUUCCGGUGGAGCGGUGAAAUGCGUAGAUAUCGGAAGGAACACCGGUGGCGAAAGCGGCGCGCUGGACAUCUUCUGACGCUGAGGCGCGAAAGCCAGGGGAGCAAACGGG
rnacentral:rRNA from 1 species